GCGGCGCCCAGCGGAGGGUGGAACGGCGUCGGCGCGAGCUUGUGGGCCGCGCUGCUCCUAGGGGCCGUGGCGCUGAGGCCGGCGGAGGCGGUGUCCGAGCCCACGACGGUGGCGUUUGACGUGCGGCCCGGCGGCGUCGUGCAUUCCUUCUCCCAUAACGUGGGCCCGGGGGACAAAUAUACGUGUAUGUUCACUUACGCCUCUCAAGGAGGGACCAAUGAGGUGACAAUGGCAGAUGAGUCUGGGGACCAGCGAAGACCACCAGCACUUCACCUGCACCAUCUGGAGGCCCCAGGGGAAGUCCUAUCUGUACUUCACACAGUUCAAGGCAGAGGUGCGGGGCGCUGAGAUUGAGUACGCCAUGGCCUACUCUAAAGCCGCAUUUGAAAGGGAAAGUGAUGUCCCUCUGAAAACUGAGGAAUUUGAAGUGACCAAAACAGCAGUGGCUCACAGGCCCGGGGCAUUCAAAGCUGAGCUGUCCAAGCUGGUGAUUGUGGCCAAGGCAUCGCGCACUGAGCUGUGACCAGCAGCCCUGUUGCGGGUGGCACCUUCUCAUCUCCGGUGAAGCUGAAGGGGCCUGUGUCCCUGAAAGGGCCAGCACAUCACUGGUUUUCUAGGAGGGACUCUUAAGUUUUCUACCUGGGCUGACGUUGCCUUGUCCGGAGGGGCUUGCAGGGUGGCUGAAGCCCUGGGGCAGAGAACAGAGGGUCCAGGGCCCUCCUGGCUCCCAACAGCUUCUCAGUUCCCACUUCCUGCUGAGCUCUUCUGGACUCAGGAUCGCAGAUCCGGGGCACAAAGAGGGUGGGGAACAUGGGGGCUAUGCUGGGGAAAGCAGCCAUGCUCCCCCCGACCUCCAGCCGAGCAUCCUUCAUGAGCCUGCAGAACUGCUUUCCUAUGUUUACCCAGGGGACCUCCUUUCAGAUGAACUGGGAAGAGAUGAAAUGUUUUUUCAUAUUUAAAUAAAUAAGAACAUUAAAAA
rnacentral:lncRNA from 1 species